rnacentral:rRNA from 1 species
UACAGAGGGGGCAAGCGUUGUUCGGAAUUACUGGGCGUAAAGGGCGCGUAGGCGGCCUUCUAAGUCAGACGUGAAAUCCCCAGGCUUAACCUGGGAACUGCGUCUGAUACUGGAUGGCUUGAAUUCGGGAGAGGGAUGCAGAAUUCCAGGUGUAGCGGUGAAAUGCGUAGAUAUCUGGAGGAAUACCGGUGGCGAAGGCGGCAUCCUGGACCGAGAUUGACGCUGAGGCGCGAAAGCCAGGGGAGCAAACGGG